rnacentral:rRNA from 1 species
AUACGUAGGUGGCAAGCGUUAUCCGGAUUUACUGGGUGUAAAGGGCGUGUAGGCGGGUCUGCAAGUCGGAUGUGAAAUUCCCGAGCUUAACUCGGGCGGGUCAUCCGAAACUGCAGAUCUUGAGUACUGGAGAGGAUAGUGGAAUUCCUAGUGUAGCGGUAAAAUGCGUAGAUAUUAGGAGGAACACCAGUGGCGAAGGCGGCUAUCUGGACAGUAACUGACGCUGAGGCGCGAAAGCGUGGGGAGC